UCCCCCCCCCCCCCCCAGGGGGACGAUGGGAACCUGAAGGAUGAGUUCUACUACGACUACCCAUCCCUGCGGCGCUGGGGGGCUGGUGUGGCAGCCGCGCUCUUUGUCACCGGCAUCGGCGUCAUCGCCUGUGGGAAGUGCGGGAAGCCCCCCCACUGCCAGGGCCGGAAGAGGAAGAACGCCUACGACAUCGCCCAGAUCUGAGGCUGCCGCCCCUCCCCCACCCUGCUGAAGGAAGAG